rnacentral:rRNA from 1 species
GAGUUUGAUCAUGGCUCAGAUUGAACGCUGGCGGCAUGCCUUACACAUGCAAGUCGAACGACGCUAGGGGCAACUCUAGCGAGUGGCGAACGGGUGAGUAAUACAUCGGAACGUGUCCUGUCGUGGGGGAUAACCAGUCGAAAGACUGGCUAAUACCGCAUGACCUCGCAAGAGAAAAGCGGAGGACCGCAAGGCUUCGCGCGAUUGGAGCGGCCGAUGUCGGAUUAGCUAGUUGGCGGGGUAAUGGCCCACCAAGGCGACGAUCCGUAGCUGGUUUGAGAGAACGACCAGCCACACUGGGACUGAGACACGGCCCAGACUCCUACGGGAGGCAGCAGUGGGGAAUUUUGGACAAUGGGGGCAACCCUGAUCCAGCCAUGCCGCGUGUGUGAAGAAGGCC